UAGUUUACCGAGUCGAGCAGGAUGAAGAACCGGAGAGGUUCGAGCAUCGCGCAGCGAUACGACAACGCGCAGCGUUGCCCGCAGGGUGAGGCCACUGGCCGAAUCAAUCCUGCACGACCCACCC
rnacentral:sRNA from 2 species